rnacentral:rRNA from 1 species
UACGGGGGGAGCAAGCGUUGUUCGGAUUUACUGGGCGUAAAGGGCGCGUAGGCGGCACCGCAAGUCGACUGUGAAAUCUCCGGGCUUAACUCGGAAAGGUCAGCCGAUACUGCGGGGCUAGAGUGCAGAAGGGGCAACUGGAAUUCUCGGUGUAGCGGUGAAAUGCGUAGAUAUCGAGAGGAACACCUGCGGCGAAGGCGGGUUGCUGGGCUGACACUGACGCUGAAGCGCGAAGGCUAGGGGAGCGAACGGG